rnacentral:rRNA from 1 species
UACGUAGGGUGCGAGCGUUAAUCGGAAUUACUGGGCGUAAAGCGUGCGCAGGCGGUUUUGUAAGCCAGAUGUGAAAUCCCCGGGCUUAACCUGGGAAUGGCAUUUGGGACUGCAAGGCUGGAGUACGGCAGAGGAGACUGGAAUUCCUGGUGUAGCAGUGAAAUGCGUAGAGAUCAGGAGGAAUACCGAUGGCGAAGGCAGGUCUCUGGGCUGAUACUGACGCUCAGGAGCGAAAGCGUGGGGAGCGAACAGG